AUUGAACGCUGGCGGCAGGCCUAACACAUGCAAGUCGGGCGAGUGGCGGACGGGUGAGUAAUGUCUGGGAAACUGCCUGAUGGCGGGGGAUAACUACUGGAAACGGUAGCUAAUACCGCAUACCAUCAGAUGUACCCAUAUGGGAUUAGCUAGUGGGUGAGGUAACGGCUUACCAAGGCGACGAUCCCUAGCUGGUCUGAGAGGAUGACCAGCCACACUGGGACUGAGACACGGCCCAGAAUCCUACGGGAGGCAGCAGUGGGGAAUAUUGCACAAUGGGCGCAAGCCUGAUGCAGCCAUGCCGCGUGUAUGAAGAAGGCCCUAGGGUUGUAAAGUACUUUCAGUCGGGAGGCGUUACCGACAGAAGAAGCACCGGCUAACUCCGUGCCAACAGCCGCGGUAAUAC
rnacentral:rRNA from 1 species